rnacentral:rRNA from 1 species
UCCCCUGCAUAACCCAGAGAUGGGCGAAGUCCUUCGGGACAGGGUGACAGGUGGUGCAUGGUUGUCGUCAGCUCGUGUCGUGAGAUGUUGGGUUAAGUCCCGCAACGAGCGCAACCCUUAUCAUUAGUUGCUACCAUUAAGUUGAGCACUCUAGUGAGACUGCCCGGGUCAACCGGGAGGAAGGUGGGGAUGACGUCAAAUCAUCAUGCCCCUUAUGUCUAGGGCUACACACGUGCUACAAUGGUGAGUACAAAGAGAUGCAAGACCGCAAGGUGGAGCCAAACUCAAAAACUCAUCCCAGUUCGGAUUGUAGGCUGCAACUCGCCUACAUGAAGCCGGAGUUGCUAGUAAUCGCGAAUCAGCAUGUCGCGGUGAAUACGUUCCCGGGCCUUGUACACACCGCCCGUCACACCAUGAGAGCUGGUAACACCCGAAGUCCGUGAGGUAACCGUAAGGAGCCAGCGGCCGAAGGUGGGAUUAGUGAUUGGGGUGA